GGGGUGGAAGGUUGUUGUUUCUAAGUCCCACAUUGGUUAGAUGAGGGAAGAGAAGAGGUGCCUUCAUGUAUAAAAAGGAGGGGGUGUGUGCAUUAGGAAGCAUGAGAGGCUAAGAUGCAAUUUAGAGAAAAUUGCAACUUUGGGCCCAAAGGUUUGAAUAAUUAAAUUCAAACCUAUAGUUUUUUUUUUAUAUAAUUUUGGGACUCACAAUCCCAUUUUUAUAUUAUUUUUCUCUCUUCCUCUCACGUUGCUCGGCGUUUUCUCGCAAGGGGGGGAUUAUUUUCUUUUUUCUUCAGAUUAUAUUGACAAAGAUAGUGGUGAAAAAGGAGUUGUGAAGGGGAACUUGUUAUUCAAGACACAAGGAGCGAAUCCGGCCGAGAAAGCACCAGAGGUGUAAUUAUGGUGUAUGAGACACCAUCUUUUACGUUGCCUCUUAUUUUGGAUUAUACAAUGUAUCUUGUGCCAACUUAGGACAUAUCUUG